CCCCCCCAGGGGCCCAGGUAUCAUAUACACCGCCAAAAUAAAGAGCCUUGAGUACUAGAAGAAAAGCACCUAGACCUAACAAAAUUAAGUGAAUACCCAAAAUUGUAGUCAUUUUAUUUCUAUCUUUCCA
rnacentral:antisense_RNA from 1 species